UACGUAGGGGGCUAGCGUUGUUCGGAUUUACUGGGCGUAAAGCGCACGUAGGCGGAUCGUUAAGUCGGGUGUGAAAUCCUGGAGCUCAACUCCAGAACUGCCUUCGAUACUGGCGAUCUUGAGUCCGGAAGAGGUGAGUGGAACUCCUAGUGUAGAGGUGGAAUUCGUAGAUAUUAGGAAGAACACCAGUGGCGAAGGCGGCUCACUGGUCCGGUACUGACGCUGAGGUGCGAAAGCGUGGGGAGCAAACAGG
rnacentral:rRNA from 1 species